rnacentral:pre_miRNA from 1 species
UUUAUUUUUUUAUGUCCAACGUUUGACCAUUCAUCUUAUUUAAAAAUUAUACAAAAACUUAAAAAAAUUAGUCAUAUAUAAAAUACUAUUUAUAUUUUACCAUCUAGUAAUAAUAAAAAUAUUAAUCGCAAAAAAAUUCAAAUAAGACGAAUGGUCAAAUGUUGGACAUGGAAAAAC